rnacentral:miRNA from 1 species
AAUCAGCAAGUAUACUGCCG